rnacentral:rRNA from 1 species
GAUGAACGCUAGCGGCAGGCUUAACACAUGCAAGUCGAGGGGCAUCGCGGGUGGCAACACCUGGCGGCGACCGGCGAACGGGUGAGUAACGCGUGAGCAACAUGUCCUCAGUCGGGGGAUAAGCGAGGGAAACUUCGUCUAAUACCCCAUAACACUUUCAGGCGCAUGCCUUUAAGUUGAAAGCUUUUUUUGCGACUUUGGUUUGGCUCGCGUGACAUUAGCUAGUCGGUGGGGUAACGGCUCACCGAGGCUACGAUGUCUAGGGGUUCUGAGAGGAAGGCCCCCCACAUUGGGACUGGGACACGGCCCAAACUCCUACGGGAGGCAGCAGUGAGGAAUAUUGGUCAAUGGACGGAAGUCUGAACCAGCCAUGCCGCGUGAAGGAAGACUGCCCUAUGGGUUGUAAACUUCUUUUGCAGCAGAGCAAUAAGGCGUACGCGUACGCCGAUGAGAGUAUGUUGUGAAUAAGCAUCGGCUAACUCCGUGCCAGCAGCCGCGGUAAUACGGAGGAUGCGAGCGGUAUCCGGAUUUAUUGGGUUUAAAGGGUGCGUAGGCUGGUUUGUAAGUCAGCGGUGAAAGACCGGGGCCCAACUCCGGAAGUGCCGUUGAUACUGGAUUGCUAGAAUUCCCUGCCGUGGGA